rnacentral:rRNA from 1 species
AACGAACGCUGGCGGCAUGCCUAACACAUGCAAGUCGAACGAGACCUUCGGGUCUAGUUGCGCACGGCUGCGUACCGCGUGGGAACCUGCCCUUAGGUUCGGAAUACCUCCCCGUAGGGGGUGCUAAUACCGGAUAAUCUAUUCGCACCAAAGAUUUAUCGCUUUUGGCUGGGCCCGCGUUGGAUUAGCUAGUUGGUAGGGGAAUAGCCUAGCAUGGCGACGAUCCAUAGCUGGUCUGAGAGGAUGAUCAGUCACACUGGAGAUAAGGCACGGCCCAGAAUCCUACGGAAGACAGCAGUAGAGAAUAUUAUGCAAUGGACGAAGGCGUAGUCAAGCAAUGCGGGGUGAGUGAUGAAGGCCGUAGGGUAGUAAAGCUCUUUGACCCGAGAUGAUAGUGACAGUACCGGGUGAAGAAGCACCGGCUAACUACGUG